AGGCGGGAAUGCAAGUCAGGCGUGAAAACUAUGGGCUCAACCCAUAGCCUGCGUUUGAAACUGUAUUUCUUGAGUGAUGGAGAGGCAGGCGGAAUUCCUCGUGUAGCGGUGAAAUGCAUAGAUAUGAGGAGGAACACCAGUGGCGAAGGCGGCCUGCUGGACAUUAACUGACGCUGAGGCGCGAAAGCGUGGGGAGCAAACAGGAUUAGAUACCCUGGUAGUCCACGCUGUAAACGAUGGAUACUAGGUGUGGGGGGUCUGACCCCCUCCGUGCCGGAGUUAACACAAUAAGUAUCCCACCUGGGGAGUACGAUCGCAAGGUUGAAACUCAAAGGAAUUGACGGGGGCCCGCACAAGCGGUGGAUUAUGUGGUUUAAUUCGAAGCAACGCGAAGAACCUUACCAGGGCUUGACAUCCUACUAACGAAGCAGAGAUGCAUUAGGUGCCCUUCGGGGAAAGUAGAGACAGGUGGUGCAUGGUUGUCGUCAGCUCGUGUCGUGAGAUGUUGGGUUAAGUCCCGCAACGAGCGCAACCCUUAUUGCUAGUUGCUACGCA
rnacentral:rRNA from 1 species